rnacentral:lncRNA from 1 species
CUUUCUCUGAAAGCCCGAGCUGGGCCUUCCUGCUCCGAUCCCGGCCUGUCCUGCGUCUGCGAGGGCGAGCCGAGCGGGGCCCAGGCAAAGGCCCGAUGGGGCCCGUUUGUCUAGUUCUCCUUUCGGCACCUUGUCACUCCUGUCGCAUGCAACCCCCCUCCCCAAGAAAAAAGUUCCGAGUUGGGACGGGGGUGCGCGCCGUGUGGAGGGGCCGGAAGCCAGUCUGACCGCAGACCCGGCCCUGUCACCGGCCCAGAACGAGAUCGAUGAGCUGAGAACCGAAAUGGACGAGAUGAGGGACACUUUCUUCGAGGAGGACGCUUGUCAGCUGCAGGAAAUGCGCCACGAGUUGGAGAGGGCCAACAAGAACUGCCGGAUCCUGCAGUACCGCCUCCGCAAGGCCGAGCGAAAGCGGCUGCGCUACGCGCAGACCGGCGAGAUCGACGGGGAGCUGCUGCGCAGCCUGGAGCAGGACCUCAAGGUUGCCAAGGAUGUAUCUGUGAGACUUCACCAUGAACUGGAAAAUGUGGAGGAAAAGAGAACAACAACAGAAGAUGAAAAUGAGAAACUCAGGCAGCAGCUUAUAGAAGUUGAAAUUGCAAAGCAAGCCUUACAGAAUGAACUGGAAAAAAUGAAAGAGCUAUUUUAUUAAAGGAUGCUUGUGACGUUUCAUUGAUCAUAAACUAGAUGUGAAACUGUCAGAUGAGGAGUGCUUGAAAGAACUGGGGGAUGUGUACAGUGGGGAGGAAAGAAAGGCUUCCCGUGUGAAGUCCUCUUCCGUUGUUUGAAGGGAGGUACUCCGUGUUGAAGAUGGAGCGGGCUGGAGCUGAUGGCAUGUGCCUGUAGUCUCACUACUGCGGUCGGCUGAAGCAGGAGGACUGCAAGCUGAAUCCCAGCUCGGGCAACUUAGUGAUGUAGCAAACCCUGCCUCCGAAUUUUGAAAAGUGGGCUAAAGGACGGCUGGGAAGUGGCUCCAUGCAAAGGCCCUGGCUUCCAUCUGCAAUGCUCCCCUCCCAAGAAGAAAAUAAAAUAGGUUUAUUCUUUGAAUCACUUUAUGUGAUUUUUUUUUUUUUAAACUUCCAACAGAUUUG